GAGAUACAGUUAAUGGAGUGAAAUCUGCUCAUCCCUGUCAGGAAAGGAGGGGUGACUAUAAACUGCGCUGUAACUGCAGUGAACAAGACGGGUGGCAUCAGGAAUACCACCACUCACCAGACUCUGGCAGGCGGAGGCCUCCUCCAUAUCCCACAGGCUAAAAAGAUCCGAAGGAAUGAAGAGGGUCUGGUAACUGCUGAUGGUUUGGAUGCAUAUGGUAUUGCCAGAUCUCUGGCCUCUUUCCAGCUUUCCUGGUUCCUCAAAAUUACUUAUAAUAUUCCCAUUCAGACCUGUGCAACUGGUUGUCUUGAAUGAUUGCAGACUCACAAAAGAAGGUUACGGGAUGUGAGUGAACUUGAAUAUAAGGAUCUUCCAUGAUAAACUCACGAGUAUUUCUAUAUAUUGAGGUAAAGGAGUUAACUCCUUGGUAGCUGUAGUAAACUCUCACCCUAUACAGGACUUUCUAUGUGUCUUGCUAAAACCUCCCUGAAGCUGCUGUAUUGUGUUCUGUUGGUUUUUUUUUUUUUUAAGUCUUGUCGAUACUGCAGGUGGGUGGGAGAGUAUUCCUAGUGCUGGAUAUGGCUCUUUCCUCUUUCUCCUAGCACAGAUAGAAAUCAGUGAAUCCUUAAAUUGGGUUGAGAAAUACAAUUUAUGAAUGCGGUGAGCA